UAUACUGACAUCUAAGUUGAAAUAAACGAUUUUUAAUUUGAAUUUGAAUCAAAUUGAAAUACGUAAUUUUCCUAUCUCUUGGAAAAUUAGUUUCAGAUUUCCUAACGUCAUCUAGGGGCACCGUUAGUUGUGGGUACUCAAUCUAAUUAAGGUGCAGGGAGGCUUGUUGCUCUGAGGGAUUACGAGGCUCCGUCGGAACGUAUCCGUUGUGAUAUCCGCCUGUGACCGAUCUCCGGAGUGACAAACAUACAAUUCUCGGUCCAUUUACAUUCAAGCUGCCGUGAUUGCUUUUGCGUCUACCGCCGCCCCAUCCGCUGCAGCGUCCUGACGAGAGGCAGGAAUCGAUACAAGCUGCUCAGCUCAUCGCCCAAGCAAAACAAAAAUGUAGACUCAAUGUAAUCUGGAAAAUGUAAGCAUCGAUAUUUAGCUCUCCGAGUUUCGUUCCAGUAUUAAACACACAAACUUAAUUGAAAAACAUGACGUCAAAAGUUUCGAAGCGCGCCCUUUUAUAUUUUGUUUUGCAGUUACGAACAACUCGAAAAUUCAAACAUCCGGUUUUCCGUGAAAUUAAAUUUGAUAGUUUGACUCGUGACAAAGGAAUGAUUCAGAGCUGCAAACGUGAAUGUUAAAUAAAAAAAAGUAUUUUAUCAUAUUUCGUGGCGCUUGCAUCACAGCCCGGCACAUGAAAAUUCCCGAUGAGUUUUUCCUUAUUUCGCUAAAGUUUCUGGUUUUUGGACGAUUUUAAACGCAAGAGGGCAAAUAGAUAAAAGCAAAAAAAAUCCAAAUCCAGCCCCAUUUAUAGACACGCCUUCGAAAUCUAAUGUAACGUUUAAAAAAAAAAUGGAUUUUAUAAAAAGAUUUUUAAACAAUAAUUGGCGUAACUGUAAUUUUAAAAAUUGCAUAAAAAUCGAAAGAUCAGAAUGGUUUGAUAUAAAGUACACAUUUAAAAAUAAAUGCGAGAUUAAAAUCCAGAA